GCAGGAGCAGGAGACCAGCUACACCAUCCUGCGCUCUAAGGGUUGUAACGUGACGUUGGGCGGUCUAAAGGCAGACACCGCCUACCUGCUCCAGAUCAGGGCCAGGACUGCAGCAGGCUACGGAGCCAGCAGCAGGAGCUUUGAGUUUGAGACAAGCCCUGACUCGUUCUCUAUCUCCAGUGAGAGUAGUCAGGUGGUGUUGAUAGCCAUCUCUUCCUCGGUAGCCAUUAUCUUGCUCACCGUCCUCCUCUACGUGGUGAUUGGCAGGUUCUGUGGCUACAGCAAGUCUAAACAGCCUGACGAAAGAGACUGCACUUUGGCAACGGUCACCUGCGUCUGCCAGGAAUAAGGACCUACGUGACGCCCUCACACCUAUGAAGACCCCAGUCAAGCCG